CGUGCGAGCACCGUGCCAGCACCGUGCGAGUGGACUUGCGCAGUACCGGUCUCUGCGGCAGUUCCAGCACUCAUGCGCAGUACCCGUCUCUGCAGCAGCACUCACCUGGCCCUGCCCGUCAGGCAGGAAGAGUGUAUUGCAGACGUCUAUGGCCAUCACAUACCUCAUAGGCUGCUUGUGAAAUCGUUCUCACGUCAUUCCAGACUGCACUGACUUGAGCGUCCACAGGUUUUCCCAAAUCAGACAGCACUUUCACUGUGGCAGAGUUCACACGGAUGGACACCACUGAGUGUCGUUCUUGUUCGAAGGGAUUGUAGAUCACGAGGUACCUGCAAAGCCAGCUGUGUCAAUGCGGCAAUCUCAGAGCACGACUGUUUCUCUAACUCUUCCUAAGGCUUCAGUUCCCAGCCAUGGACAAUACACUGGGAAGCCGAGCAUGGUGGCACCACCUUCAAUCACAGUGCUUAGGGGGCAGAGGCAGGUGGCUUUCUGAGUUUGAGACCAGCCUGGUCUACAGAGGGAGUUAGUUCCAGGACAGUCGGGGCCACAGUGAGAAACUGUCUUAAAAAAAAAAAAUUCAACCAACCAAGCAACAGCAAUAAACAAACAAACAAACAAAUAAAUAAUUCCCUGGAAGAAUGAAAAGGGCCAUCCUGAGAGAACCCCUCAAAGAAACGGAGACCACACCACACAUGCAGCAAGAGAAGCAUGUUGUAAGACUACAAGUCUAUCGAUCCUCCACUUUAUAUGCAUAUUAAAUAUGUUCCAUGUGUUACAAAGGACAUCUAAGUGUUGUGUCAGUCAUCUAAAGAGCCAGGACUCACAGCCUCUCCCUGGUGCCUUGUGUUGACUUAAAAAACGAAACAACAACAAAAAAACCCAACGUAAUUUGUCUCUGCAAUUUAGGCAUAUUAACUUCCAAUAAAAAUAUUACGUUCAUUUGAGAUCGGCGAAACUAGUAAGUUGUAUAUUAUAUAUGCAAAUCUCACAGUACAUACACACAUUUUAUACAGACAGGGCCCUCGCUGCUACGCUCAAGAAACACAGUUCUAGGAUUAAAAGCAAACCCACUCAAAGAAAUCUACUUAUAAGAAAUGUACUCAUAAGAAAUCUACUUAUAAGAAGGGCCAAAUUUUUAUGAUAAGUCUAUGGAGAAGAAAAGUUUUGGUGGGGAUUCAGCCAAAUAGAAGAAGAUUAAAACUAUAAAGGGAGCUCCUGUCAGUAUGUGCAAGAACGUACAAUUCUUAGUAUAAACAAAACUUCAGCUGCAAUCCUGUCAGAGUCUUUGUCAACCGGCCCAAGCACCUUGGAGCACACCACGCUUCGGUUUUCCAGGGUGGCUUCGGACAGAACUGUUGGUCAAGGUGUCCGAGGCCUUUCCCCUCCUCCUGUGGCUCUUCUCUCAGUGUCGAUCCUCUGGGAAGCACUCACGGCCUUCCCUCCCUAUCUCCUCCCAGGGCUGCUCUGCCAGCCUGACAGGACCUCGGCAAAUGUGCAUGACGCAGGAUCCUGCACUCUGGAUCAUUUACACCGUAUUAUCUCCCAAUAAAGCAGCAUUUCCAAAAGGACUGAGCUCCCUGCUGGCCACUGACUCACCAGUGCAUGGUUUAUGAUCUGAAAUGUUUUCUUUUCCUAGGAAAGGUGUUAGUUUCACCCUCUCAAGAAACAUCAACAUAUUAGUCAGCUAGUGACCAUCUCCCCACUAACAUGAGCUCCAGAGUGGUUCAGGCUGGCUUCUAUUUGCUCAGCUACAUCUGAAAGUCGUCAUAGAAGCGUUUCCUACACACCUUCAUUCUCAUACACAUUACAAGCCAGUCAUUAAGAAAUGAAGUCCCUAACAGAGGAUGCAGAGCCUAACAAAGGAUGCAGAAAGAAAAAAUGAAAUAAAGAUGAUAAAACACAAAACCUAUACACCAUUUCAUGUAUAAAUUGCUUGGCAGAAGACACAUUUAUGUUUUUAAAAUACGGCAGGUGAUACAGUCAAUUGUAAGAAUGGCCCUAGCCCUGCAGGAUGACAGGUCUAUGCACCAGGACACAAGGACCUCACUUGCGGCCACAUGUUCACUGGCUCAUUGGUAUUCCAUGCACAUGGACACGAACGGAUGAAAGAAGGCACCAGCCACAAACACACUUACACAGAACCCUAAACAUGCCAGCACUCACUCAAGCCCCAUCUUGGCCUCUGAAGCGCUUUUCAAGGUCUGUCAGUGCCACUCCCAGAGAGAGGUGUGCAGCAUACCUAUCAGACAGACUUUACAACAGAGUUUCACCCUCUCAAGGCCCACUUGAGGUUUUGUUUCAUCCUGGUUCUCCUCUGAUCAUAAACGCAGGAGGGCAAUCACAGUGCCAGGAUUCUGUGCCACCAGAGUCUAAGGGCCCUGAGAGAGACCAGCUGACGGUCACGUACUCCAGAUCACCCUACGUGAACAAUUUACUAACAUCUACAGUUUCAGAGGCACCCAAAGCUAGAAUGAGAGGACGUGUAUGGGCCUGGGGCAGACCCGGUAACUGGGAGUGCACAGAGCUAAGACCCAAGCACACUCCUUUCUAUAGAAAACUUGAAAAAUGACUCACACUUAAUUACAGCUUUAAGCAUAUACUUGGUUUUGUACCCUAUGAAACCGUGUUGUACAGUAAAGCUGAGAACUAAA